rnacentral:rRNA from 1 species
CAGCAGCCACGGUAAUACGAAGGGUGCAAGCGUUAAUCGGAAUUACUGGGCGUAAAGCGUGCGUAGGCGGUUUGUUAAGUCUGUUGUGAAAUCCCCGGGCUCAACCUGGGAAUGGCAAUGGAUACUGGCAAGCUAGAGUGUGUCAGAGGAUGGUGGAAUUCCCGGUGUAGCGGUGAAAUGCGUAGAGAUCGGGAGGAACAUCAGUGGCGAAGGCGGCCAUCUGGGACAACACUGACGCUGAGGCACGAAAGCGUGGGGAGCAAACAGGAUUAGAUACCCCUGUAGUCCCUGUCUCUUAUAC